GCGCCGGUUGUCUCUGCAGCCCGUCCUACGCCGGUCCACGCUGCGAGUUCUCCACCGACACCGUGGAGACCAACCUGCCGUUCCCUGGGACCAUCAUGACCACCCUGGACAUGGAGGUGACCGUCACCAACUUCAACUACUCCAAGGACCUGGAGGACCCGACCUCCGAGACCUUCCUCUUCUUCCAGAACCACUUCCGGCAGGAGAUCAAGAAGAUCUACGGGACCAUCCCUGGCUACGAGGGCGUGGAGAUCACCAGCCUCAAGUCCGGCAGCAUCGUGGUGGGACACCAGGUCUUCUUCACCAUGGCCCAGAGCAGCAACACCACGGAGAAGUUCCAGGAGACCACGGAGGAGUUGGUGGAGAACCUCCAGGAGGUGGUGGACAGCCAGGGCAACUGCCAGCACAACACCUCCGUGCUGUGUCUGGUGCUGAGAGGUGACCCCGUGGUCAGCGGCAUGAGGGAGGUGUUGGAC
rnacentral:lncRNA from 1 species